rnacentral:tRNA from 1 species
GGAAGAGUGGGUGAGCUGGUUUAAACCAUUCGGUUGCUAACUGAACGUACGAGGAAACUUGUACCAUGGGUUCGAAUCCCAUCUCUUCCGCCA